AGAGCCCUAAACCCCAGCCCCUCCCUACACUGCCCCUUUUUUUCUCUACAGACAUAAAAGACAGAAAGGAAAACACAUUUUUGGCUCAUGCAAGGUGCAGCAGAAAGCUGAGCAGAAGGAAGGGGCUCUGAAGCUCAGAGAGCUCAGAGAAGUUGUGGUUUCCCCAUUGCUGGCAGUGUCCCAGGCCAGGCUGGAUGGGCUUUGGAGCAGCCUGGGACAGUGGAAGGUGUCCCUGCCAUGGCAGGGGUGGGAUGGGAUGAGUUUGGAGCUAAAAAGUUCCCUUUGGGCAGGGCCAGGGUGUCAGAGGGCAGUGCAGCCCCAGGCACUUCGGGGAGCUCUGUCUCUGGGUCUGUCUGUGUGUCUGUCCUUCCCCAGGGCAGCUGCUUUGGGCACAGGGAACAAUUCCUGCCCAAAUUCCCAUCCGGCCCUGCUCUCCU
rnacentral:lncRNA from 1 species